GCGGCUGUCCGAUGGCGGUGGGGAGGGGUCUGUGCUUUGUCAGAAAGGCUUUUUCCCGAAGUCACCUUCUUUGUGGGCCUUAAUUAGAGCCGUCGGAUUAACCACGGUCAUCUGUAGGGGGGUUGAGUUUCGCAGAUGAGACUUUUAGGUGGUCUGGUGGUAUAAACCCGUGAUUGACAGCGAGGAGAAGAGUGCGCUCCUCUCUGCGCCUCUGCUGGGAGGCACUGCAGUCGCGUUGGGCUGUGUUUUGCUUUUAUCUCUUCUUAUUAUCGGCAGUUAAGAGAAAUAAAUUUCUUCUGGCCACGAAAUAGCUGUGGCAGUGGAAAGCGGGGCUGGAAAGGCUUUUGUGUGGAGAUGUGGGUAGUUAGGAGAGCCAAUUUGCUGGCAUUUCGGGGAAUGCUAUCAGCUUCUGUAUUUGAGGAAAGCUGCAGAUACACCGCUUUUCCGGUCUUAUAGUUGGAAGAGAAAGAAAACACGCAUGAAAUUGUGUGGACAAGUCAAUUCUAAUGUUGCAUUGAAAGUGGGAGCUGCUGUCGUAGGUGCUCCUGCCUGUCCUCUGCGUUGUGUGGGAUGUUUGGCGCUCUGGAGAACCCUUUUAUCACGAGAGUGUUUCAUUCCUAAUCGUUGCUUUGCUGUUCUUGAGUCUAACAUCCCAUAUCCCAUGGAUUCUCCACAGUCGAAGUGUUUCUGGAUCGUCUGAAUCAUGAUUUUAAGCCGACAGCCUACUCACGUUUCACUUAAUCUCAUCUAUUUCCAGUGCAUUAGCAUCAUUAUGGCAGGGAGAGCUCAGAAAUGUCAGGUGUAGUGGGAGCAGUCCAGUCAGGCCAAUCUUGGCCUGCUCCUGUCUCCUCCUCACCAUUGCAGCUGGAGGAUGUGAUUCUCUCAGGCUUGCUGGUAUUGCUGUUUGCGUGAUCAGUCUUUAACUCAUUUCUCUCAAAAUGAGCUGGCUUAUUUUAAGCAGCUUAAGGUGUGAUUCCGUGGUGUUUUCAGAUGGUCUAAAUCCCGGCAUUUCCCACCUCCUCUUUGCAUUCUCAGCUCCACAUAUUCCCAUCUCUGUUCCUGUCGCUGCCAUACGAGCUCGUGCUGCCUCUUGCUUCAGCAGCAAGGCAUUGCCAACAAGGCUUAUUUGAGCUGUACAGUAUGGAGCUCUCUGUCUUGAUGAAAUACUAUUUAGCACCAUCUAGUAGUCUGAUUGCUGGAUGCUACUAAGUCAUCAGAUCCUGCCUGGAACACUUAUCUGCUUGUUUUUCUGUGUGUUACAGGGACAUGGAUGUCAGGCCACAUGUGUGAUAGGCAAGGCCACGAAAUGAGCAUCAGGGCUGUGCAUCCCUGAAGUUGAAUUUCACAGCUGGAGGAGUAGUUUGAAGAUGAGGUGACGGUCUUCCAGCAUGGUUAUGUGAAUUACAGAACCUAAACCAUGGCUUACACAAGUGAUUUUCCUUGGAAAAUAAAUACCUGCUUUUGAAAAUAUCUGAACGUGCAGAAAUGAAGUGAGGAAAUGUGGUAGUUGCCAGUCAGCCUGGGCUUUCCUUUGUUUACUGUGUUCAUCAGCCUGAGCCUGGUGCGAAGCACAGCAGCCAUUUGAAUACAAUGUGCAUGAGCCAGCUGGCAGCAUUGUCUGUUAGGCUAGUCAGCAGCAGGAUUCUCUCUUUUACUUAGGUGAUGCUCUGAUCUUUUUUCAGAGUUUAUAUUGGAGCAGUUCUCAAAGGCCCUAGAAAUGAAGUAGAAAUUAUCUGCUCCACAGAGAUUUAUGAAGAAAUUGUCACGACUCUUGCUGCCCCUCUCUGCUCCUCUGGUACAAACUGUGCCACAGAGCAGCAAAGAAUUGAAUAUUUUCAAAAGCAGGUGCAUGAGGAAAGUUGGCUUUUCACUUGCUUGGGAGAGAAGGAAAGAGGGAGAGGAAGAAAAGGAAAGAUGGGGCCUGGGAUUUGUAAGACUAUAUCAGUACUUGAAGGAAUCACUGAAUAAAGCACCUCACAUACAUCUUGUUCAUCCUCUGGCACUCCUAACAAAGCAGUAGCUGUGACUGCAGUAUGUGGAGUGGCUGAUGCUACAGGUUAAGCAGGAAGUACUUACUGGGUCUUGCUCCUCAGAGAAAGAUGUACUUGAGCAAGCUUCUGCAAGCUGCUCAGUUUUGCACAGGAAUGGAAUUUUUUUUAAUGUAUGUGCCAAUAUUGCUCUGCUAUAUAAAAAUGCACUGUGUUGGUUUUCUGAACGUAGUUUGAUCAUCGUAAAUUCCCUGAAGUUCUCAUUUAAUCAUGUAUGUACACCUGUUCUCACUAUUAGACACAUCCAGUUGAUGAUCCUGCAAGACCACUUGAUCCUGCUCUAGUCUCGAGAUAGCUCAAAAGAUGCUGCCUUUUGCACCAAACAGGCAAUCCAUUUGCCAGCUUCUGAUGUUCCCAGAUUGGCAUGCUGCUUUGUGCAACCAGGAUAGAAGAUAGAGGCUUGCACAGCAUGUGUCCUAAUUAUGCAGCAGAUAGAAUAUUUCAUGGGAACAUGAAAACUGGUCUAAAUCUGAAAUAGUAACCUAAAACUAAAGUGUUCAGUGUCAUAAUCAGGCUCCCAAGUUUUCCAAGCUUCCACGCUGAUCCUGCAGUAUUAUGUUAAGCUUUCAUUUCAUAUCCUUCUAGAUAACUCAGUCCAACUUCUUCCAUUAGUCUAGAAAGAAAAUAUAUUGCAUGCCAUGUCUAGUUCUUGAGGGUAACGUAACGGAAUGGCAUAUGCUUCUGGUCUUCAUUUAUUGCCAUCUUCACAGAAUCAUAGAAUCACAGAAUGGCCUGGGUUGAAAAGGACCACAAUGAUCAUCCAGUUUCAACCCCCUGCUAUGUGCAGAGUUGCCAACCACCAGACCAGGCUGCCCAGAGCCACAUCCAGCCUGGCCUUGAAUGCCUCUAAGGAUGGGGCAUCCACAACCUCCAGUGCAUCACCACCCUCUGAUUGAAAAAUAUCUAAUAUCUUCUAAUAUUUAACCUAAUCUUUUUGGAUGAAGUGUUUAAAGACUACAAAACUAGUGCAGCCAAAGGCCUGUAACUUACUUCUUAUUUUGAAAACUUGAGAAUGAUUUAAAUGAUGCAGAGAUUUUGUUCUGGCUUUGUCCAUGCAUGUUAAAGUUUUAUCUGUGUGGAUUAUAGUUCAUCAAGCUAUUUAGAGCCCCCACUGUUGCCUUUGCUUAUUAAGGCCUAACUUUGUGGUGCCACCCUUGUCCUACCUUAGGCUGCUGAAGAGCAAUCACAGUAAACAUCUCUGCCAGGAGGAUGUGUGCUUCAGUUGCAAGCAUGUACCUAUGCUCUCUAGGUUUUGCAGGAAGAACCAAAGAGCAGAGGAAAUGAGUGUAAUACAACUCACUGUGAUAUGCUGUGAAAAAGGAAUGCAGUUUUGCAAACAAAAUCUUCUGUACUGUUGGCUUUACGCUUUCAGACCCACAUACCCCGAAGCGUCUAAAUAUGUCUGUCCAGAUGGGCUGGCCAAGAUCAUACACAGGAUGAGAAUGUUCUCUGUUACAUCUUCAUUGUUUCUCUGAGUUUCUUCUUGACUGGCGACUUGAAGUGACAUUAAAUUCCCUUUUUUUAAUCUCUGGGAGGAGGUGA